GGAGUCUGGCCCGUGUCUCAGUGCCAGUGUGGGGGACCGUCCUCUCAGAUCCCCUACCCAUCGUAGCCUAGGUGGGCCGUCGCCCCGCCUACAAGCUAAUGGGACGCAUGCCCGUCCCGACGCGCCAUAAGGCUUUGGCCAAAGGGGGAUGCCCCCCAAGGGCCACAUGGCGGAUCGCCCGGCGUUUCCACCGGCUGUCCGCCGCGUCGGGGUGGGUUGCAUACGCGUUGCGCACCCGUCCGCCACUCUCGGCCCCCCGAAAGGGGCCUCCCGUUCGACUUGCAUGUAUUAGGCCUGCCGCUAGCGUUCAUC
rnacentral:rRNA from 1 species